rnacentral:rRNA from 1 species
GUGGGGAAUAUUGGACAAUGGGCGAAAGCCUGAUCCAGCGACGCCGCGUGAGUGAUGAAGGCCUUCGGGUCGUAAAGCUCUGUCGGCGGGAACGAAUAAGGAUGACCUAACACGUCAUCCCCUGACGGUACUCGCAAAGGAAGCACCGGCUAACUCUGUGCCAGCAGCCGCGGUAAGACAGAGGGUGCAAGCGUUGUUCGGAAUUACUGGGCGUAAAGGGCGUGUAGGCGGCGGAGUGUGUCCGGCGUGAAAGACCUCGGCUCAACCGGGGAAGUGCGCUGGAUCCUACUUUGCUGGAGUGCGAGAGAGGGUGGCGGAAUUCUCAGUGUAGAGGUGAAAUUCGUAGAUACUGGGAGGAACACCGGAGGCGAAGGCGGCCACCUGGAUCGUUACUGACGCUGAAACGCGAAAGCGUGGGUAGCAAACAGGAUUAGAUACCCGAGUAGUCC